rnacentral:rRNA from 1 species
UACGGAGGGGGCUAGCGUUGUUCGGAAUUACUGGGCGUAAAGCGCACGUAGGCGGCUUUGCAAGUUAGAGGUGAAAGCCCGGGGCUCAACUCCGGAAUUGCCCUUAAAACUGCAUCGCUAGAAUUGUGGAGAGGAAAGUGGAAUUCCGAGUGUAGAGGUGAAAUUCGUAGAUAUUCGGAAGAACACCAGUGGCGAAGGCGACUUACUGGACACAUAUUGACGCUGAGGUGCGAAAGCGUGGGGAGCAAACAGG